rnacentral:lncRNA from 1 species
UUUUUUUUUAGUAAAGAUUAUUCUGUGCCUACCUAGAUAAUCUUUAUAAUUUAAACUCAGAUGGCCUUUCUUGUGGAGUUUCCAUCAUGGCACAGCGGAAACAAACCCAACUAGGAACCAUGAGGUUGUGGGUUCAUCCCUGGCCUUGCUCAGUGGGCUAAGGAUCCGGUGUUGCUGUGAGCUGUGGUGUAGGCCGGCAGCUCUAGAUCUGGUUAAACCCCCAGCCUGGGAAAUUCCGUAUGCCUUCCGUAUGCCUUCCGUGGCCCUAAAAAGACAAAAGACCAAAAAAAAUUAAAAGUUAAAAAAUAAAGUCAGAUGAUUAGCGGUUUUAAUUUCAUCUGUAAUCUUUUUUUUUUUUUUUUUUUGGCUAUGCCCUUUACAUAUGGAAGUUCAUGGGCCAGGUGUCAAACCAGCACCACGGCAGUGCUGUGCCACACGGGAACUCCUCUUUUUUAAAAAAUUACUUAAGCCAGUCUAAUUCACCUUUUGUUUCUUUCUGUUUCAAAAGGACCUAUAUACAAAUGCCAUCUCUGGUGCACUGAUGACGACUACCUACCUGAAGAACUACACUGAGGAGAACCCUGAGGGCCUCACCUGGGCUCAGGACUCAUGAGGCAGAUAUGCCAGGAGGGAGAAGAAGAAGGUGCAUCCUUUUGACUAAGAUGAAACCCCUGACUCAAUCUUCUGCCUCGCUCUGGACUGGCCAGCGCUUCAUUUUUUUUCCAAGGCUUGCUUGGUCUUUCAGGUUGGUAUAUAGGCUGGAAUUUGUCAGCUUGUGUCCUCAAGAAAGAUAAAUUUCCACAUUUGCUUAGAGGUUUAGUGGGUGUUCCCGCCCUCAAAGCAACUGUACCUGGUGCCACAGGUAAACUUCUUCCUAAGUACCCGUCCUCAAAAAGCUUAGACGCUAAAGGGAAAACUGCUCCCUGCACGACCUGGCAUGCCACGUGUUCCACUCGCUUCUCUGACCUCGAACAGUGUGUAAUCUGAAACUGGUCAAAAAAAGCAAUGAUGCUAAAAGCACAAUACAUUACAAAGGUAGCAUUUAAAAGUUUACAAAACAGGAGUUCCUCGGCAGGUUAAGGACCCAGUGUUGUCUUUGUAAGGAUGCAGGUUGGAUCCCUGGCCUGGCUCAGUGGGUUAAUGACCUAGUGUUGCUGUGGCUGAGGCACAGGCGGCAGCUACAGCUCCAAUAUGACCACUGGCCCAAAACUUCCCUAUGCCACAGAUGCACCCAUAAAAAGAAAAAAAAAUUACCAAACAAGGAUAAGGUGAGUCCUGGAGACAGAAGCAAUGAAAGGUUACUCAUAGAUUAUUUCUAAAUGGUUUUCAUGGUCCCCCCAACUUGGGCAAGCUGAUCUGGUUAACUGAGAUUCUCCCUGAUGGAACUAUGAUUGAUUCUGACCCCAUCUGAUAUCCUAAAAAAACAGACACUGUGCAGAGUUCCCGUCGUGGCACAGUGGUUAACGAAUCCAACUAGGAACCAUGAGCCAUGACGGGAACUCCCAUCAUGUUUAAAUAUCAUAUUUUAGAUCUAAAAUGUUAGAAAUAAAGAUAGAAGAAAUCACCUAUUUAAAAAUCUUUCCAUAGAUAAAGAAUUUACAAUAGGUAUGAAUUUGCAUAAGAAAAUUUUUGCAAUCCCAAAUGAAAAUAAAACAGAAGAUUAAGAAAACAGAUAAGGGCUCCUAAAUAUUGUGAGUCAGUUUAAAAAACCUGUUUCUAACACUGUUUAUGCAUCAGAGUGAAAGCGUCUCAACAGGAGAAUGGGCUUCUCCUGGCUAUUUGCUUCAUAAGACACACUGGAGCCCAAAGGCUUUCCCACCAGCCUCCCGUGAUGUCAAAAGAGGGUCGUUCCCUCACGUGUGUCUGCAGCUGCCACACGCCACAGGCGCCACGCCGAGUGGGACCCACACGGCUCCAUCCCCCCGGCCGCCUCACUUCUCAGGGGCCCAUGGUCCUCUACUCCUGGCUCAGGAGCCUUUCGCAAGUUCACCCCGCUCCUUAUCUGCAGUCUUUAAAAUCUAAUUUCUAAUUUGUUUUGACCUAGCCUCUACCUUUCCAUGUCUCCUUUCCUUUUCCAUCUGGGGCAGACAGCUUAUCAUUUCUUUCAGACUGUGAUCAGUGAUAACCUCCAGGUUUUCCUCACGACCUCCUAGAAGAUCGGCUCUCGAGUCCUGCUCUGGAGUGAUCUGAGACCCACCAGCAUCACUCUACUGAUUUCAGGCCAACAUUCCAGGCUGCUGAACAAGUCUUAACCUUGUUUCUACUUAUGAUCACAUUAGUGACGGCACCUGUCCCAGAGAUGGAUCACCUGACACAGAUGCACAAUACGGUACGACAGGUUCACAUGCUAGUUUCAGAACCAGAGAGACCUGAGUUCAAACCUCACUUCAACCCCUGACAUACUCCCUGUGGACUCAGGCCAUUUCCACUCUCUAACCCUCAAUGGAGACAUAACAACAACAGCGUUUUCCUCGUGUUGUGGAGUCCACAACAGUUUCCUCCAAGAGGUUUUUCUCGGGGUCUAGUGCAUGAUACUCAUCCAACAAUGUCAACCAUUAUUUUGACACUGAAAUGUACACAUUCUCUGGUCUCAGUAAAGUUGUCCAUCAAAUGAUAUAUAAGAAAGAAUAAAAGCCAGAGCCCUCUUGUGCUUUUUGAGAAGCCCCCUCCAGGUCAGUGCUUUUCAACCUGCAGGUUAGUGUAUAUAGAAAUCAGUUUAGCAGGUAAUAAACUGGGUAUUUUUUAAUUAGAACACAAUGUUUUCAAAAGUGAAUAUAAUGGAAUAGAAUAGAUCAAAGUGCAUGUCAUAUUAUAAGCACUAAAUGGUGUUCUGUCAAACAUGUAUGUCUGUGCACAUGCAUACUGAGAAACAACAUAAAGUGCACUUCUUACUGUGUGUCACAGCCUAAAAAAGAAGUUUUGAAAGCCACUGUUCUAGGCUGAUCCAAAGCUCCUUAGGUACACUCUUCAGUAACGACAGACCAUUUAGGAGAGACACUGCUGCCCUCUGCUGGAACCCUUGACUCCUCAUGGAAAAGGACACCGGUAGGAGGACAGAGACUUUGCUUCUUGCCCCUGUGACCUCACCAUCCUCCUGAACCCCAUCUGGAAGCCCACCUGGGAGGACGCACCCCUCGGGCUACCCUGAUGCCCUCAGCAACGAAUGCGUCAAAGGCAGCACUCGAAGUGAGAGCCCACGUUCUCACCUUGAAAGUAAUCUUGGAGGCUGAGCCACACACGCUACUGUGGUCCCACCUCGGCCCCAUCACACCUCACAGCUGCGAAGGGCCUCCCCAGCCCCUAAGCAGCCAUGGGUCUCUGCUCCUCUGGGCACCCUUGGAGGAAGGUGAACUGACUGCAUGUUCUCAGAGCUGGGACCACCAGCAGCCCCCACCCUCUACAUGCCCCCUGAUUUCUAAGAUAAGUGCCUAGCAGGGCGGACCAGCAGGGUACAGCCUCAGAAAGAUAAGACUGUCCCACCCGACCAAGAGGGAGGCCUCACUAAGAGGUCAACGCUCUGAGAGAAGAGCACUCCUGACACACACCCCUGUCUUAAGAUGUGGAGCCUAGAACCAGACAAACUUGCCAAGAAUCUACUUAGUCCUGCUUCAGGAUGAAGGCUGCUAGAAAUUGAAGGCUCACACCUAGCCGCCCACGCCCAAGGCCUCAAGUAAAACUUGAGCAUAGUCUAACUGGAGGCUGACAUGCGUACAGUAACUUGCCCAGAGUCACUCGGCUCAUUUCAGGCCCAGGUGCCCCUGAAUGUGGGCCCAGAGGUCCCAGCUGCCACUUUAAGGCUGGCUGUACUUCUGAACUUAAAGGCUUACACCAAGAAAGAAAGAACACAUGACUCAGCUGCAAAGUGGCAAAUAAAACCUAGUACGAAAAAGACUUUAAAUCUGAACUUUAAAAUAAAUAAUGGGUGGCAUCACAGUAGGCAUUUUUAGAACAUGAACCAUGUUAUUAAUUUACUUUCAAAACAGCCUCAUUUGUUUUGAGUCUCGAAACAGGCCUUUUUUCCCCCUUGGGUAAAGGCCUUUCCCCAAAGACAGAUAUGCUUCAGCCAUUUCCUCAUCUAUGAAAUGAAGAAGGAAGACAAAUCUAUCAGAGCAUAUAGAGUUUACACUUAGUGCCAGGCGCUAAGUUGCUCUGUACUUUCACGUGUGUUUAACAACACUGGGCUCAGAGAAGUCAGCAUUUUGCUGAAGGUCACACAGCUAGUCAGAGACAGAUUCUAACCCAAGUACACCUGACUCCCUUGCCCUCGCUGGGGGAGCACACGGCUCAGCCCCUUGAAUGUCUCCUCCCUCCCUCUCCCUUGUCCACACAUCUCAAUGGGAGCAAUUACCAACAGGGAAGGAACUCAAGAUCCCAAACUUUGGGGAAAGGCUGACAAACUACCGCAGCAGAGGUGACGAGGGAAAUGUGACAGCUGCGUGCCAGGUGGUGACCUGAGACCUUGGACCAAGAGAGGACUAGAGGACAAGCUGGUGAGAUCCAAAUGACAAGCUCGAAUGUGCUGCUGCACACAGUAGGCAGGUCCUAAUCGGGCCCUGCAGUCCAUUCUCAGGCUGCUUCUAGAUUCAUCUCCCAAAGCACACAUCUGAGUGCAGCUCUCUUGCUUCUAACCUUUCCUGGCUCCCCCUCGUCCUCGAGAUCUGCCUCCAGCUCCCCUUCCCAGAGACUUUUCUGGCUUCCCCUCCCUACCUCCCUGACCCUGCCCCAGCUUUGCUCAAGUCACUACUCUUCCCAGAAAGCACCCCGGGCCUUUCCUGCCACAUGCUCCGUCUGUCAGCCCUCAGGCUGCAGCACAGACUCUCAGAAUUCAGCUUCAACGUCGCUUCCUGCAGGGUGUCCUCCCUGACACCCUCGCUCCCUCUCCCCAAGUUUUCCCUGUGCCCUGUAAGCAGCUCCCAUCGCCGUGCUUCCGUCCUGGACCAUAUUCACAUCUGCCCCUCCUCUGUAUGCAACCCAGUCCCGGCUUCCUCGGAGUGAAAGCUGUGCGCGCAGACACGGCACCGGGCAGCACCGACCCCACUGUGAGGUCAGGGGUUCCGAAGGCCUCCUGUCCUCCCUAACUUCUCGGGAACCGUGUUAGUUUGUCUUGAACACUCCCUGGGAACUCCUUUCUUCCCUUUCGAAUAAGGCCAGAGGAAGACUCGGCUGGGCAUCUGUCAUAAGCAACAGGAUCUAGCUUGAAUUUAGCGCACUAUUUUGUUUUCACUGUAUUUUUACUUAUGAAAUUCUAUUUACAGAAAGCAGUACAAGUUCUUCUUCUACCCAGACUAGCAUUCUUCAUAAAAUUAUAUGAAUAAAGGAAGUGAAUCCACUUAGAAAAAACUGGUAAGUAAUUGUUUGGGUGGCACAUGUGACAAAAGCAUGUGCACACGCACACAUGGGCACAGCUAUGAAAGCUGUCCUGAGCAAAACAUCUCUGCGGCUGAGUCCCUGGGUCAUGAGACCCAGGGUGCUGCUGCCGUUACCACAACUACACGUGUGGCUGGGAGAAAACUACUGCUCUGGUCUUCUGUGUACUCACCUGUAAAAAGAAGAGGAAAAAACUGGGCCAUAAAAAUAUAUGACUUCAUCUCCCAGAUACAAAUCUCUCUUCCUACUCAUAUGGCAUGGAAAUAACAUUGCUGAAAAGAAACUCAGAGGUCAUAGCUUUAUAUUAGAGAUCAGAUCCAUAGUGUAUAGAGAUUGAAGUGAUAGGCCCAGGUCACGUCACGAUUUAAGGUCAAAUCCAAGACCGAAAUCGAGGUCUCCCCCCCCCCGCCCCCACGCUGAUGGGCUGUUUCUCCCUCAUUUCUGAAACUCCCCUCCCCAUGUACUUUUCCCCCAGGUGAACUUCUGACACAAGGGUUAGAUUUUACUUUCAAAGCACAAGCAAGUACACACACACAAUAAAGACAUCUUAAAAUAAUGGAAAAGCAAAUAAGCAAAGGAUAAAGGCAAUAUUAGAUUUCCAAGUGUUCACAUGGUUGGAAAAGGAAGUAAAAUACCUGAAAGCUGAGAAAACAUGUUACAGGUGUUUCCACAAUGUUGUAAUUCCCGCCUUGUUCUUCACUGAGAUUAGGUAAUAGAUUAGAUGCAAGGAGCCGGGAGUGGGCAGGCCACUGAGUUUCGGGGGAGUCCCUGACCCAUCUUUGUCUCCUCCCUGUGUAUAAUAAAACCUGCUUUACAAGAGACCAGAUCCAAAUAGCACUUCACUCACUCUCUGUGGAUCAUGAAAAAUGGGAUCCACACAAUUCCGGGGGGAAUACUUCAUCACAUUUUUAAAACAGGAUUUUCAGACACUUUUAAAGACUACUUUAGUAGAGUCUUUGCAUAUGGGAUGUAGUCAUUGCAAUGAUACAGUACAAGGUUUUUCUCAUUUUAAAAAAAGUCUUAUCCUUUUUUUUUUGGAAAUGUACUGAACAUUUUUAUAUCUGACUUCGUUAAAGGCAAAAUUACCAGCUUUACAAAUGAACCAAUGCACACAGAAUCAGAAAAUUGUAACCAAGUUUCCCAGUGAAUGUAAAAUGGGUAGAUACAAUACCCUUCACAUAUACACAUGCAUGUGUGUGUUUGUAGGCAUUGUUGUAUAUUUAUGUAUAUACAGGUGUAGGUAUUUAUGUAACUGUACGUACAUGUGUAGCAAUUGGCCAAAGAGAAACUCAUGCGAGAAGAAACUUCAACUCAAAGCUCAAAGUGAGCCAAAGGUAAGAGGUAGCUGUCGGGAAAAAUAAGAAUCUUAAUGCAAUAUUAAAAUACAUUAAAUCCCAUUAAGUACAAAAAUGACCCACUGUACUCUCCACCCACCAGCCAAUACCAGCUGCAGGAACCACACUAACAGAGGCAUAGGAACUGGCAUGUGGUCAGAAGAGAGUUCUAGGUCAGCGGGGAAAGGGAGAGCCGGGGUGGUUCAUAGCAUGAGUCCCAGGGCCGAGCACGCCUUACUCAAACACAAGAUGUGUGACUAUCCUGGAGCACAGGGGCCC